ensembl:lncRNA
CAUCACCACCGCCGCCGCCCCACCAUCACCACCGCCGCCACAUCACCACCGCCGCCGCCACAUCACCACCGCCGCCGCCCCAUCACCACUGCCGCCGCCCCACCAUCACCACCGCUGCCACAUCACCACCGCCGCCGCCCCAUCACCGCCGCCGCCCCAUCACCACCGCCACCACCGUAUUAUAAAGGACGGAGAUUCCUGCUUCAGCCACUGCUGGAGUUUAAUGAGGGCGGCAGGGAAAUGCUGAGCAACACUUUAUGGGACUAUUUCACUUUCUUGGCCCAGCAUAAAAAGCGUUGCUCAGCAUGUUCAGCUCUGCCUCCUUCACCUGAGAGCUGCUGAUCUGAUCAAUGAACAAGACGGAAAACCACUUUAGUAUCCCUGUGGGUGGCUACAUACACAAGCCCAGGAGAGGGGUCUCUGGGCUCUGGCGCUGCCUGCUGGGAGGCCAGGGGGUGCACCCUGAGAGGAGUCCGCCGGGACAGACACACUCUGGGGCCUGGGGCUCAGGCCCAGGAUGUGCUGGACCAGACGCUUCUUUAGGGUCAGCCGAGGGCUGAACUUGGUCUCUGGACUCUGGAAACAAUGGCAGGGACACAGGAAUGAAUGCUGCAGGACCAGACUGUAGCGCUCCGGCCCGCUGCCGAAAACCGGAGAACUCUGAUCCCAGCGGAUCAGCUCCGUUGUAAACACGAGCUUCCACCAGCUCCGAUAACGUACCAAAAUCAGGCCUUUUUUCUUUGGGCCGGAGCCUGUGAGGGGCCUGUACUGGGCCUCAGCCGGGCCUCAGCCAGGCCUCAGCCAGGCCGCCGUACUGGGCCUCAGCCAGGCCUCAGCCAGGCCACCGUACCGGGCCUCAGCCGGGCCUCAGCCUCUCUUGUCCAGCUGGUACCGAACGCUGCUGCUGGGCGUUGGACAAACACCUCCAGACACGAGCGCAUCACAGCAGCCCUCCACUUUACUUCAGAAUUCAUUCAGACUUUUAGAUUGUGGUGCACGUCUGCUCCAGCCCAGCUCACGCUAGAGCGCCGCGGUGCACGUCUGCUCCAGCCCAGCUCACGCUAGAGCGCUGUGGUGCACGUCUGCUCCAGCCCAGCUCACGCUAGAGCGCCGCGGUGCACGUCUGCUCCAGCCCAGCUCACGCUAGAGCGCCGCGGUGCACGUCUGCUCCAGCCCAGCUCACGCUAGAGCGCCGUGGUGCACGUCUGCUCCAGCCCAGCUCACGCUAGAGCGCCACGGUGCACGUCUGCUCCAGCCCAGCUCACGCUAGAGCGCUGUGGUGCACGUCUGCUCCAGCCCAGCUCAGGCUAGAGCGCCACGGUGCACGUCUGCUCCAGCCCAGCUCAGGCUAGAGCGCCGUGGUGCACGUCUGCUCCAGCCCAGCUCAGGCUAGAGCGCCGUGGUGCAGCUCUGCUCCAGCCCAGCUCACGCUAGAGCGCCACGGUGCACGUCUGCUCCAGCCCAGCUCACGCUAGAGCGCCACGGUGCAGCUCUGCUCCAGCCCAGCUCACGCUAGAGCGCCACGGUGCACGUCUGCUCCAGCCCAGCUCACGCUAGAGCGCCGUGGUGCACGUCUGCUCCAGCCCAGCUCACGCUAGAGCGCCGUGGUGCACGUCUGCUCCAGCCCAGCUCACGCUAGAGCGCCGUGGUGCACGUCUGCUCCAGCCCAGCUCACGCUAGAGCGCCGUGGUGCACGUCUGCUCCAGCCCAGCUCACGCUAGAGCGCCGUGGUGCACGUCUGCUCCAGCCCAGCUCACGCUAGAGCGCCGUGGUGCACGUCUGCUCCAGCCCAGCUCACGCUAGAGCGCCAUGGUGCACGUCUGCUCCAGCCCAGCUCAGGCUAGAGCGCCACGGUGCAGCUCUGCUCCAGCCCAGCUCAGGCUAGAGCGCCACGGUGC